AUUUUAUAGUUGGUUUCAGUGAAACUAAAGAAUCAAUGAUCAAAUUUGUCAUUUGUUUUCUAUUUUUAUUAUAUUGCUAUAGACCUUUAUAAGUACACUUAAAGAUGACCUUGUGUGAGGUUUUGAAAUUUGGGUUCAUGUUCGGACUUCUUAGUGUUUUUCCAUACGAUACAAUAUGAAAUAUUUUGCCCCAUUACACCCAUUUAUCUUUUCAUAUAAGACUUAAUAGCUCAUAAAAGGCCAUUUGCCAAAAAAAUUAGCAGAUUGUUGAUUUUUCUUCUUUUGAUUUUUGACCCAAAUAAUGCCAAUGCAACUAUAAGUUAAAAGUCCGAGUCAGUCUUUACUUGCAAUAUUUUUUAAUUUCAAAUAUUCCGAAAAGAAGCAUUAUGACCUAUCAAUAUUUUUAGCUGUUUUUGUUUCUUAGCUAAUUCUCUUCCGACUUAUAAUAUCAAUUCUAAAUUCUUGGUUUUUUUUUUUUUUAUUUCACCUAAAUACCUCCUUAAUAUUAAGUAUUCCGAAAUUAUACAUGCUGUGCUUACUUUUGCAAUUUUUACGAUUUGAUUAUUUGCAUUUAAAUUCAUGUAGGUCAGAAAUAAAUGUUAGAUAAAGGCAACAGUAGUAUAACGCGGUUCGAAAUUCAUAAAUCGAUUUGAGAAAAAUUAAAACAGUUUGAAUUGCUAUAUAGACAUUACAAAUGAUUGAAUUAUUGUAAAUUGUAUAUGUCUGUCUUGCAAUUUUGAUCCGACUUUGACCCAUUUUAAAUAUUCGUAUAAAAACAUUUCGUUUUUUUUGGUUAGGCCUAUUACUCAGAUUUUUAUAGGAAUAUGUUCAUCUGACCGUAAUCUUAUUUUGAUGGUGUAUUUGUCACGCAUAGAAAGAUGGCAAUCAUUGGUCUGUUAUUUUAUGAUUUAUUUCACUGUAAACCUUUUUAUUAUGUAAUUUUCAGUGUGUUAUACAUGUUAUAUGUAUCCCUUGUUUUUGAA
rnacentral:lncRNA from 1 species